rnacentral:rRNA from 1 species
AUUGAACGCUGGCGGCAUGCCUUACACAUGCAAGUCGAACGGCAGCACGGAGCUUGCUCUGGUGGCGAGUGGCGAACGGGUGAGUAAUAUAUCGGAACGUACCCAAGAGUGGGGGAUAACGUAGCGAAAGUUACGCUAAUACCGCAUACGAUCUAAGGAUGAAAGUGGGGGCUCGCAAGACCUCAUGCUCCUGGAGCGGCCGAUAUCUGAUUAGCUAGUUGGUGCGGUAAAGGCCCACCAAGGCAUCGAUCAGUAGCUGGUCUGAGAGGACGGCCAGCCACACUGGAACGGAGACACGGUCCAGACUCCUACGGGAGGCAGCAGUGGGGAAUGUUGGACAAUGGGGGCAACCCUGAUCCAGCAAUGCCGCGUGAGUGAAGAAGGCCUUCGGGUUGUAAAGCUCUUUUGUCAGGGAAGAAACGGUGAAGGCUAAUAUCCUUUGCUAAUGACGGUACCUGAAGAAUAGGCACCGGCUAACUACGUGCCAGCCGCCGCAGUAA